UACAUGAUGUUAAAGGACCACUUUAAACCAGGGUCAAGCUACAUUUUCCCAAGAUCCUAUACAGCUUUGUCAGCCACAGCUAGCUCCUUGUUGGGACUAGUAUCAGCUAUUAUCUGCACUUGCCAUCUGGACACCACAGAUAUUGUCAGCAUGUAUGCAGAAGACCUACCUUCUCCAGAACUUGUUGACCAGGAGGUUACAAGGUGGAAGUUGAAAGUGCCUGAAUCACAGAGGCCAAACACCCCAGCAAGUUCCCUGAAAGAGUGUGACCGAGACAUGUACCCCAACCUACACGUCCUGCACCGGCUGGCCUGUACACUCCCUGUCACAUCCUGUGAGUGUGAGCGCAGUGCCCUUCGUCGCCUCAACAACUACAUGCGGGUAUCGAUGGGUUAGGAGCGUCUCUCUUCACUGGCACUGCUUCAUAUUCAUUACAGCAAGCACAAUGACCUUGACAGCAUUAUUGAUGUGUUUGCAAAGAAACAUGCAAGAAGGAUGGAGUUGGACUGUCUUCUUUAUCCAGAUUGAGAUCAUGGACUUUGCAUUGUAAAUAAAGGUUUUGCAAAACUACAUCUGUUUAAGAUGAUUUUAUGUUAAUCUAUAGAGUAGUGUCAACAAUUUUUUAAAAAAAAUGUGUAGCUGUAGAUUUAAAUGAAUGGAAUAUGUAUUAUAGUGGGUAAAUGUUUUAGGAUGUCAGACUAAUUUCUGUGUUGUUUGAUGUAUUAACAUUUUGAUACUAAACUAUAACAGUGUUGCACAUCCAAGGUCUUUCCUGGCUCUGAACAGCCAUGUUGUUUUUUUCCAUGUGGGUAGGGUUGUCUUCACAAUGACCCUCAAGGCUCACAUGAUGUCAUUUUUUGUGACAUCCACCAAGGAAGAAAGGAGCUCAUACUUGUGAUGGUAGUAUGAAACAAAAGCUUCAAAACAUGCUUCAAACCCCGAAUGUUUCAAUCUUUAUUAGAAAACAGGAGGUGUAACCAGCAAAAAUACAUUUUCAAAUCAGUUAUCAUAGCAAGUUGCUGAAUAAAAAAGCUUUUUUUAACCACAGUGAAGUAGUUUUUUUAACACUAGUGAUUAAAGUUGUUGGGUGUGUACAACCAAAAGCACAAAGCCUAAUUUGACAGCAGUGUUGAAAAUUGCCACAAGAGGUCAGUGUAAUUGAAGUUUCAGCAAACGAAAUGAACCUAUUUUUGAAACAUUUGGCCCAACUGAUUCAGUGCUGCAUAAAAGCUCCAUUUGUUCAUCACUAGCUCUUACAAUAGCUUAUGGUUUUCCCCAUCAAAAACAAGUUAAAAUAGAGCUGCUAAAGGAAAUAGAGCAAGAAGAUACAUGUGUGUGAUGCUAUGCAGCAAUUAUGCCAAAGGCAGUUGCGCUUACAACAGAACCGGUGUGUUAAUCUAAGCAACCUCCAUAUACCUGAAAAAGGUCCACUUUUUCUAAAAAAAGAACCCCCCACACAAAAUCCUGGCUACG